rnacentral:rRNA from 1 species
AACGAACGCUGGCGGCGUGGCUAAGACAUGCAAGUCGAACGGACUGUCCAAUUUAUUGAACAGUUAGUGGCGAAAGGGUUAGUAACGGAUGGGUAACGUACCCUGUGCUUUGGGAUAGCGUCAUCCCGAUUUAUCGGGAUUUCCGAAAGGGGCGGUAAUACCAAAUAAUAUCAUUUGUCGAUAGGCAGAUGACCAAAGAUUUAUCGGCACAGGAGCGGCCUGUCUCCUAUCAGCUUGUUGGUGAGGUAAUGGCUCACCAAGGCAUCGACGGGUAGCGGGACUGAGAGGUUGACCCGCAACAUCGGGACUGAGACACUGCCCGGACCUCCACGGAGGGCUGCAGUAACGGAUAUUGUGCAAUGGGCGAAAGCCUGACACAGCGACGCCGCGUGUAGGAGGAAGUCUUUCGGGAUGUAAACUACUGUCAGGGGGAAGAAAGUGCGCUUCGGCGUAUUGAUCUAAC